UCUGCCUCUAGAGGCUUUGCAAGUAUUACUGCUGUGUCACAUGUGUGUAAGUAGGUGGCAGAGAAGAGAGAGGCUGUGUCUAUGCUCCACUCAGUGUUCUGACGUUUGAACAUCUGAAUCAUCUGUAACCUAACAUU